CCUACGGGAGGCAGCAGUGAGGAAUAUUGGUCAAUGGCCGGAAGGCUGAACCAGCCAUGCCGCGUGAAGGUCAGUGCCCUAUGGGCGUUAAACUUCUUUUGUGCGGGAGCAAUAAUGGUCACGUGUGGCCAGACGAGAGUACCGUACGAAUAAGCAUCGGCUAACUCCGUGCCAGCAGCCGCAGUAAUACGGGGGAUGCAAGCGUUAUCCGGAUUUAUUGGGUUUAAAGGGUGCGUAGGCUGGUACGUAAGUCUGCGGGGAAAUGCCCCCGCUCAACGGGGUGAAGUGCCAUUGAUACUGCCUUGCUGGAAUGCGGAUGCCGUGGGAGGAAUGUGUGGUGUAGCGGUGAAAUGCAUAGAUAUCACACAGAACACCGAUUGCGAAGGCAUCUCACGAAUCCGCGAUUGACGCUGAUGCACGAAAGCGUGGGUAUCAAACAGGAUUAGAUACCCUGGUAGUC
rnacentral:rRNA from 1 species